rnacentral:rRNA from 1 species
UGAGUUUGCGUACCAUUAGCUAGUUGGUAGGGUAAUGGCCUACCAAGGCUUCGAUGGUUAGCGGGUCUGAGAGGAUGAUCCGCCACACUGGAACUGAAACACGGACCAGACUCCUACGGGAGGCAGCAGUGAGGAAUUUUGCGCAAUGGGGGCAACCCUGACGCAGUGACGCCGCGUGGACGAUGAAGGCCUUAGGGUUGUAAAGUCCUGUCAGUAGGGAAGAAAUGUAUGAGGGAACAAUACCCCUUGUGCUUGACGGUACCACCAGAGGAAGCACCGGCUAACUCCGUGCCAGCAGCCGCGGUAAUACGGAGGGUGCAAACGUUGUUCGGAAUUACUGGGCGUAAAGCGCGCGUAGGCGGUUUGUUAAGUCAGAUGUGAAAGCCCAUGGCUCAACCAUGGACGUGCAUUUGAUACUGGCAGACUUGAGUACUGGAGGGGAUGGUGGAAUUCCCGGUGUAGAGGUGAAAUUCGUAGAUAUCGGGAGGAAUACCGGUGGCGAAGGCGACCAUCUGGCCAGAUACUGACGCUGAGGUGCGAAAGCAUGGGGAGCAAACAGGAUUAGAUACCCUGGUUAGUCCAUGCCGUAACGAUGUCAACUAGGUGUUGGGGCGGUUAAUCGUCUCAUUGCCGGA